rnacentral:rRNA from 1 species
AUUGAACGCUGGCGGCAGGCCUAACACAUGCAAGUCGAGCGGAUGAAGGGAGCUUGCUCCUGGAUUCAGCGGCGGACGGGUGAGUAAUGCCUAGGAAUCUGCCUUGUCGUGGGGGAUAACGUCCGGAAACGGGCGCUAAUACCGCAUACGUCCUGAGGGAGAAAGUGGGGGAUCUUCGGACCUCACGCUAUCAGAUGAGCCUAGGUCGGAUUAGCUAGGUGGUGGGGUAAAGGCCUACCAAGGCGACGAUCCGUAACUGGUCUGAGAGGAUGAUCAGUCACACUGGAACUGAGAAACGGUCCAGACUCCUACGGGAGGAAGCAGUGGGGAAUAUUGGGCAAUGGGCGAAAGCCUGAUCCAGCCAUGCCGCGUGUGUGAAGAAGGUCUUCGGAUUGUAGAGCACUUUAAGUUGGGAGGAAGGGCAGUAAGUUAAUACCUUGCUGUUUUGACGUUACCAACAGAAUAAGCACCGGCUAACUUCGUG